UGGUAGAUGCACCCUAAUUAAAUUACUGCCCUCGGUUUCUGGCUGAGGGCAUUUUUAU
rnacentral:sRNA from 1 species